AACCCAUGGUGAGGGCACCUUCUCAAUAAGUCCUUGUACCUCUCCCAUGAAUCAUAUAGGGUCUCUAAAUUCAUCUGCACGAAGGAAGAGAUAUCAUUCCUCAGCUU
rfam:Gossypium hirsutum cultivar TM-1 chromosome 15, whole genome shotgun sequence